CAAUAGCGUAUAUUAAAGUUGUUGCGGUUAAAAGCUCGUAGUUGGAUUUCUGCCGAGGACGACCGGUCCGCCCUCUGGGUGAGCAUCUGGCUCGGCCUGGGCAUCCUCUUGGAGAACGUAGCUGCACUUGACUGUGUGGGGCGGUAUCCAGGACUUUUACUUUGAGGAAAUUAGAGUGUUUCAAGCAGGCAUACGCCUUGAAUACAUUAGCAUGGAGUAAUAAGAUAGGACCUCGGUUCUAUUUUGUUGGUUUCUAGAGCUGAGGUAAUGAUUAAUAGGGAUAGUUGGGGGCAUUCGUAUUUAACUGUCAGAGGUGAAAUUCUCUGAUUUGUUAAAGACGGAUUACUGCGAAAGCAUUUGCCACGGAUGUUUUCAUUGAUCAAGAACGAAAGUUAGGGGAUCGAAGACGAUCAGAUACCAU
rnacentral:rRNA from 1 species